rnacentral:rRNA from 1 species
AACGAACGCUGGCGGCGUGGAUUAGGCAUGCAAGUCGAACGGUAUCAUCCUUUCGGGGGUGAGAGAGUGGCGAACUGGUGAGUAACACGUAGGUUAUCUACCCUCAAGACGGGGACAACCCAGGGAAACUUGGGCUAAUACCGGAUGUGAGCAACUUUUAGUUGUUUGAAAGGUGGCGUAAGCUGUCGCUUGGGGAUGAGCCUGCGUCCUAUUAGUUAGUUGGUGAGGUAACGGCUCACCUAGGCAAUGAUAGGUAGGCGGCCUUAACGGGUGGUCGCCCACACUGGGAUUGAGAUACGGCCCAGACUCCUACGGGAGGCAGCAGUCGAGAAUAGUCUACAAUGGUCGGAAGACUGAUAGUGCGACGCCGCGUGAACGAUGAAUCCCUUCGGGGUGUAAAGUUCUUUUAUAUGUGAGCAGUGCUUCUUAUAUUAACAGUAUGGGGAGAGAGAUAUUAGCAUAUGAAUAAGCAACGGCUAACUCCGUGCCAGCAGCCGCGGUAAUA